rnacentral:tRNA from 1 species
GAAGAUAUAGCUCAGUGGGAGAGCAUCUGCUUGACGUGCAGAGGGUCGGGGGUUCAAAUCCCUCUAUCUUCACCA